rnacentral:rRNA from 1 species
UGGGGAAUUUUGGACAAUGGGCGAAAGCCUGAUCCAGCAAUGCCGCGUGUGUGAAGAAGGCCUUCGGGUUGUAAAGCACUUUUGUCCGGAAAGAAAUCCUUGGCUCUAAUACAGUCGGGGGAUGACGGUACCGGAAGAAUAAGCACCGGCUAACUACGUGCCAGCAGCCGCGGUAAUACGUAGGGUGCAAGCGUUAAUCGGAAUUACUGGGCGUAAAGCGUGCGCAGGCGGUUUGCUAAGACCGAUGUGAAAUCCCCGGGCUCAACCUGGGAACUGCAUUGGGUGACUGGCAGGCUAGAGUAUGGCAGAGGGGGGUAGAAUUCCACGUGUAGCAGUGAAAUGCGUAGAGAUGUGGAGGAAUACCGAUGGCGAAGGCAGCCCCCUGGGCCAAUACUGACGCUCAUGCACGAAAGCGUGGGGAGCAAACAGGAUUAGAUACCCUGGUAGUCCACGCCCUAAACGAUGUCAACUGUUGUUGGGGAUUCAUUCUUAGUAACGUAGCUAACGCGUGAAGUUGACCGCCUGGGGAGUA